GUUGGUGUACUGCAUAGUUUUAGCCAUUGGAUUUCAGUCAAAAGACACCAAAUGACUCCUCCCACCGUAUUAUGAUGAUCCCUAAGUUUUGGACUCAAUCCGAUAUCCAUUGGUACAUGAAACUAGGCAAUUCAGGUUAGUACGAAGUUCGUUAUGAAAUGGAGUGGUUGCUGUAUUGCAUCGUUGUAGAGAUUGGAUUUCACUCAAAACCCACGAAAUGACUCCUCCC
rnacentral:lncRNA from 1 species